AGGCAAGCUAGCUCGGUGCGCUGGUCCUGCGCUGUCGCCCUAAACGGACCUCAUGAGGGGAGCGAAGCCAAGGGAGCGUUUUGGUGUCCAGGAGAGAGUCUUGGAGCCAACGGUGAAGUUUUGUCCUGUGGGACUAUCCCUUGGGAGAAUCACGUCAGGCCCUGACGGGAGCAGCGUUAAACCCUUGGUAUGGUGCUCAGAGGGUCGCAGAACUAAGGAAGUUUCAAGGUCACCUUUCUUUUGGCGCCUUUGCCAUCUUUUGGCGCGCUUGCCU
rnacentral:SRP_RNA from 1 species